UGCCUCCUGGCAAUGGACAAAGAGACACCUUGUUGUCAGUGUUAUUCUCAUAUCAGUCAGGGGCAGGGCAGAUGGUCCUUUGCUCAUUGUAGCUUGAAGCCUGGCUGGGUGGCCAAAGCUAUUUUAUGCCCAGGACUUGUAC